rnacentral:rRNA from 1 species
AUUGAACGCUGGCGGCAUGCUUUACACAUGCAAGUCGAACGGCAGCGCGGGGCAACCUGGCGGCGAGUGGCGAACGGGUGAGUAAUACAUCGGAACGUACCCAGAAGUGGGGGAUAACGUAGCGAAAGUUACGCUAAUACCGCAUACGUUCUACGGAAGAAAGUGGGGGACCUUCGGGCCUCAUGCUUUUGGAGCGGCCGAUGUCUGAUUAGCUAGUUGGUGAGGUAAAGGCUCACCAAGGCGACGAUCAGUAGCUGGUCUGAGAGGACGACCAGCCACACUGGGACUGAGACACGGCCCAGACUCCUACGGGAGGCAGCAGUGGGGAAUUUUGGACAAUGGGCGCAAGCCUGAUCCAGCAAUGCCGCGUGAGUGAAGAAGGCCUUCGGGUUGUAAAGCUCUUUUGUCAGGGAAGGAACGGCUGAGGUUAAUACCUUCGGCUAAUGACGGUACCUGAAGAAUAAGCACCGGAUAACUACGUGCCAGCAGCCGCCGUAAGAC